ensembl:lncRNA
UUUUUUUCUUCUUAACGCUGGGGAAAAAGACAUAAAGCAAAGCUGAAACCAUUACUUCAUUUUCCUAUGCAUUCUGACUCCUGACAAGGCUUCUCACCACCACUUUGCUCAUGCAAGAAUGGACUUAGACAUUUUAAUCAUGACUUUAUUGGCGUUAUCUUUCCUGUAUUAAUUGAAUAUAGCAGUAACAGAGUUGUGCUUUCCUAGAGCCCUCCCUGCUGGUCUGCUGUUUUUGACUUACGCACAAAGAGAGCUUUACAUGAAGAGGUUCAUCUCAGCAAUUCCACUAUUAGGUACCCACAGACAGACAGGGGCUCCCUGCUGAUCCUUUGGGAAACAGCAGCAAUUUUCCUCCCAGUUUGCCCUGGCCUUUCUGUGAAAUCAGUUUCCCGUGGCUGUGUGGAAAGAUGCUCAGCAGAUACAUAGCUCCAUUCACGGGUGCUUAAAGGUACAUUGCAGCCAAACGGAGCUGGAGGAGUUUAUUCAAAUAAAAACAAAACAAAAAAAAAACCCAAACUAAUUUUAGUUCCUCUCCUUGCAAAAGUGCUUUGCAACUCUGAAUACGUGGUAAAAUUAAGUGCAAUAACCAGUAGCAGUACCACAGCAAUGGAAACACCCCUACCACUUCCCACUGCCAUCUCAGACCCACCAGCCACAAACAGCUCUGACAACGCAGCUCCAAAUUUUCACCCAUUCUUUGGGUGCCACCGCGGAUGAACGCCUAAAUAAAUUCACCAGGCUGAAGAGCCCCCAGCAGCAUUGUUCAGAGGGCAGGAACCAGGAGCGUCCCUGCUUUGCUGCUGUUACUUCCAGGCCUCUUAAAGGCAUCCAAACAGCAGUUGUGUCAGCUUCCCGAUGAAGAAAUUGAUAUGAAAGCCACACGCUUUGUCCCUGCAGCAUUCUGCCACCUGCCUGUGCUUACUGCUCUUCAUUACCAGUCAGGGCAUCCAUUUCUUGCCCGCAGAGGGGAGCACUCCUGCUUCAGUUACGUGUCCAGGAGGCACCAAAACACCUGUAGAUCAAGAAGAGCCGGCAGGCAAUCCAUCUCACCCUGCUCGAGCCACUGCUCGAGCCUGCCCUCUGCAGGCUGCUCUACUGAUCACAGACACAGCCUCUGUCACAUCACUGCUGACUUGCAGACACAAAAGUUACAGAAGCAAAUCCUACCACUGGGAGGUUGCUCAGCUGCCUGAUUUAAACCAGAUAAGGCACUGCAGCUCGUGUCAACCCACGUUCAUCUUUCGUCUCCAUCUCUUUUACCAGGCUCAAAAACACAAUAAAACAGAGAUCACCCCAAAGGGGAUGCCACAAACACUGCACUGUGCUCUGUGCUCCCUGCAAGCUCUCUCUGAACAGUGCACCCACAUCUGCUCCUGAGUUUUACAAUCUUCUUCCCCUACAGGAGGCCACAGUUAUGCUAAAUGUUGCACGAGCAACAGUUGCCUGUGUAAAUAAUUUCUUAAUGGUACAACAACUUUUCAUGAAGUAAUUGGAACAAUUAAAAAUUUAACCACAUUAAACUUCCAUACCUUUAACCCCGGUCUGUCAAAUGCGUGGUCCUGGAGCUGCUUCUCACACGUGAUGUUCUGUUCAGCAUUCCAGCACUGAAGCACAGCACCAUACAGAUGCCUUCCAUGUACAGCCAGCAGCAGCUGGGAAGGACUUCCCCAGCUGCAGGUCACCAUCAGGGACUCAUAUCUGGGUUAGCCUGGGGAGCUCAGUUCGUCCAUAUCAGGGUUCCCACCACAGUGGACAGGCAGAUUUCUCUUCUGAAUGGUAUGCACUGUCUGAGAGCAAAGUCCUGCACUGUGAAGUACUGCAAAUUAAUGCAGACUCACUGCUUUACAGCCGUAUUUUACUAGCAAGAAAUGCUUAUCUAAUGGACAUAAUCCCAGUUUUUUGAAGUUUUAUCCUCAUCCACAGCUCCGAACAGCCCAGUUUGUGUAGCUGGAGACUGGCAUGCUGAGAAAACAAGACGGCUGUAGUUCACCUUGUGCUUGCUGGAGGCCUGCAGUACAGCAGUAACAAGUCUGGUGAUGUGAAUUCUGAACCCUACGCCUCACAGCCUGCCUCAGACACGCUGAGCAACAGCACAGCAGGCCAGGGAUGGCCCAGAGCCCUUCUCCUGGGUGAUGGCAGGAACCAAGCUGGCGGUGUGCAUGGUACCCUCACCCAAAAUCCCCUGCAGUAUCCCAGCACCACCCAACAGAUCCUUCAGCAGGGAAAUGGAAAGCUGUGCCCACAGUGGGACAGCAAGCAGCCUCCAAGCGGACUGAGAAGCACUGGGAAGAACUGAGGUAACGCUGCAGCACCUCAGGGCUGUGCAAGCCUGGGAGGGCUCCUGGAGGGCCGACAUUUGGCCAGGCACAGAGCAGUGCCUCAGGCCCAUAAGAACACACUGCAGUGCUCUCAGAGGGCUGACCUUGAGAGGCCGAGUGAUCCAGCAGCGCCCCAGGCCGGGGCAGGCAGAGCACAGUGCUCCUGGAGGGCACGUUCUGAAGUCCAAGUGGCAGGCCAGCACCUCAGGCCUGCACAAACACAACUCGUGGAAGGCUGGUUUUGAUGGCUGCCUCACACUGCAGCGCCUCAGACCUCUGCCAACACGACACAGUACUCUUAUAGCACCCAUUUGGUAGAGUCAGCGAUAGGGCAUCCCUCAGACCUUCAGGAACACGGCGCAGUGCCCUCGGAAGGACGAUUCUGGAGGUUGGGGACGAGGCACUGCCUCAUGCCGGACGCACACAGCGCUGAGCGCGGCCCGUGAGGCGGCCACGCGGCAUCACCUCAGCGGCGCCAGGAGCGCGAAACGGCUCGCGCGGAAGCGCGAGGCGGUGCAAAGGGC